AAGUCGUAACAAGGUUUCCGUAGGUGAACCUGCGGAAGGAUCAUUAUUGAAUGAAUCUAGAGUUGGUUGUCGCUGGCCUCUUCGCGGAGGCAUGUGCACGCCUUCUCUUUCAUCCACACACACCUGUGCACCUGUGAGACGGGAGGCCUUUCUUUAGAAGAGGGGGGGUUUCCGUCUGCCAAUACACAAACUCAUAUAUUGUAAUCUGAAUGUAAUUGAUGUAACGCAUCUAUAAACUAAGUUUCAACAACGGAUCUCUUGGCUCUC
rnacentral:misc_RNA from 1 species